rnacentral:rRNA from 1 species
ACGGGUGAGUAAUGCUUAGGAAUCUGCCUAUUAGUGGGGGACAACAUCUCGAAAGGGAUGCUAAUACCGCAUACGUCCUACGGGAGAAAGCAGGGGACCUUCGGGCCUUGCGCUAAUAGAUGAGCCUAAGUCGGAUUAGCUAGUUGGUGGGGUAAAGGCCUACCAAGGCGACGAUCUGUAGCGGGUCUGAGAGGAUGAUCCGCCACACUGGGACUGAGACACGGCCCAGACUCCUACGGGAGGCAGCAGUGGGGAAUAUUGGACAAUGGGGGGAACCCUGAUCCAGCCAUGCCGCGUGUGUGAAGAAGGCCUUUUGGUUGUAAAGCACUUUAAGCGAGGAGGAGGCUACCGAGAUUAAUACUCUUGGAUAGUGGACGUUACUCGCAGAAUAAGCACCGGCUAACUCUGUGCCAGCAGCCGCGGUAAUACAGAGGGUGCAAGCGUUAAUCGGAUUUACUGGGCGUAAAGCGCGCGUAGGUGGCCAAUUAAGUCAAAUGUGAAAUCCCCGAGCUUAACUUGGGAAUUGCAUUCGAUACUGGUUGGCUAGAGUAUGGGAGAGGAUGGUAGAAUUCCAGGUGUAGCGGUGAA